ACGCUGAAGUCGCGCGUGGGAGUGUGAAAUAGCUGGUACUCAGAAAAAUCCUGAGGGGCAAGCUGUACGAGACAAGGGAGCGCCUUGGCCGGUUCGAGUUUAAGCGUGAAGUCAUGCUAGAACAACUACUGAGCUGUAAAUUAAAGGGAAGAUAAUUUCUACUCGUGGAGGAAAAGAAACGCGAAUAACCUCAAUGGAAGACUCUCAGGAUCUAAGUGAACAGUCAGUAAAGAAGCCGUGUACAGAGUCAGAUGGUUCAGAGACGCAGAAUCCCAGGUCUAUGGAAAUGCAGGAUCUAGCCAGUCCUCAUAAUCUUGUUGGAAGUAGUGAUGCACCAGGUAGUUCCAAACUGGAUAAGACUAGUCUUAGUAGCACAUCAGUUACAACAAAUGGAACAGGAGGAGACAACAUGACUGUGUUAAAUACUGCAGACUGGUUGCUGAGUUGUAGUACUCCCUCCUCUGCCACAAUGUCUCUUCUUGCAGUCAAAACAGAACCCAUGAACAACAGUGAAACAGCAACAACAACUGGAGAUGGAUCGCUUGACACUUUUACUGGGUCAGUAAUAACAAGUAGUGGCUACAGUCCAAGAUCGGCGCACCAGUACUCUCCGCAAAUAUAUCCCUCCAAGCCCUAUCCACACAUUCUUUCUACACCAGCAGCUCAAACAAUGUCUGCCUAUGCCGGACAAACCCAGUAUUCAGGAAUGCAGCAACCAGCGGUCUAUACAGCCUACUCACAGACAGGACAGCCCUACAGCUUACCCACUUACGAUUUGGGUGUAAUGUUGCCAGGCAUCAAGACAGAAAGUGGGCUCUCGCAGACCCAAUCACCACUGCAGAGCGGGUGCCUCAGUUACAGCCCGGGGUUUUCGACCCCACAGCCAGGCCAAACACCUUACUCUUAUCAGAUGCCAGGUUCUAGUUUUACACCGUCGUCCACUAUUUACUCAAACAAUUCUGUUUCGAAUUCCACAAACUUCAGUAGUUCACAACAGGAUUAUCCAUCAUACACAGCUUUUGGCCAAAAUCAAUAUGCACAGUAUUACUCAGCAUCAACAUAUGGUACAUAUAUGACCUCAAACAACACGGCUGAUGGCACUUCAUCAUCAUCAUCAACCUACCAGUUACAAGACUCUCUCCCUGGCUUGACUAGUCAACCAGGUACAGAUCUACAUUCAGGGGAGUUUGACACAGUGCAGAGCCCCUCCACGCCAAUUAAAGAUCUUGAUGAGAGAACAUGUAGGAGUUCUGGGUCGAAGUCUAGGGGUAGAGGACGGAAGAAUAAUCCAUCACCCCCUCCGGACAGUGACUUGGAGCGUGUAUUUGUUUGGGAUUUGGAUGAAACAAUCAUAGUUUUUCAUUCACUGCUUACAGGAUCCUAUGCACAAAAGUAUGGCAAGGAUCCACCAAUGGCAGUGACGCUUGGACUGAGAAUGGAAGAAAUGAUUUUUAAUCUUGCUGACACACAUUUAUUUUUUAAUGAUUUAGAGGAGUGUGAUCAAGUUCAUAUAGAUGAUGUUUCUUCUGAUGAUAAUGGACAAGACCUAAGUACCUACAGUUUUGCAACUGAUGGCUUCCAUGCAGCUGCAAGUAGUGCAAACCUUUGUCUGCCAACAGGUGUAAGAGGAGGGGUUGACUGGAUGAGGAAGCUGGCUUUCCGUUACAGAAGAGUAAAAGAGUUGUAUAAUACUUACAAGAACAACAUAGGAGGACUUCUGGGUCCCGCUAAAAGAGAUGCAUGGUUGCAAUUAAGAGCAGAGAUUGAAGCUUUGACAGACUCCUGGCUAACAAAUGCACUUAAAUCAUUAUCAAUUAUCAGCACAAGGAGUAAUUGUGUAAACGUGUUGGUAACAACGACCCAGCUUAUCCCAGCACUUGCGAAAGUUCUGCUAUACAGUUUAGGAGGAGCUUUUCCUAUUGAAAAUAUUUACAGUGCAACCAAAAUAGGCAAAGAGAGCUGUUUUGAGCGUAUAGUGUCCAGAUUUGGCACUAACAUAACUUAUGUUGUGAUUGGAGAUGGCCGAGAUGAGGAACAUGCAGCUAAUCAGGUAACUUCACUCUGAACUCUUAUCUCAUUUAUCUUCCAGGAAAAGAAAGUUGCUUUGAACGAAUAAUGCAAAGGUUUGGCAGAAAAGUAGUAUAUGUUGUAAUUGGGGAUGGUGUAGAAGAAGAACAGGCAGCAAAAAAGCACAACAUGCCUUUCUGGAGGAUAUCCAGUCAUUCGGACCUCUUGGCUCUCCAUCAAGCACUGGAACUAGAGUAUUUGUAACUGUGUUCUAAAGUUGGCGAUCCUUUUUUUUAUAUAUAUAUUUCAAGUACACUGAAUUUUUAUGUGUGAUUCAAUGCCUCUGGCUUUACACAUAUGAAUUGUCUUAAGAAGGGAAGAAAUAUUUGGAAUUAAAAAUUCCAAAUUGAAGAAUUCAGAUUGCUGAAUGAAGUUAAAACAUUAGUGCUACAUAAGGAAGCUCUAUGGUCUUAUAUAUACAACAUUUUUAAAUGAAUUAAAACUGUGGAGGUUGCUGGUACACACCAAGUGAGCCCUGACAGGAGUGAACAAAGGACUCAAACUGGCAAAGCACCAAAAUGCGUUUUCCAGCCAACAAGGUGGUGUUCAACAACAUUCCUCAAAAUGGGAUAUAUUCUCAGCACUGAGGUUUGAACCAGACUUUAGCCUACCUAACCCAGAAAAUCUGAAUUGGAAUGCACUCAGACUGUAUAAUGACAAUCCUGUCUAGACCUGUAAUUUGUGUAAAUUAUUGAUGAAAAUAAUUUACUGUGACUUUGUUAGCAGCUGAUUUUGGAAGUGGAUGCAAUUUUUCUUUCUUUUGGGGGUGCAGGGGAGGGAAAGGGUUAUAUAAUAUUGUCUCUUUUAUAAGUUUGGCAAACAGAAUGUCAUAAUGAUGUGUUGUGCCUUAAAGAGAAGAUUGUGUUCGUGUGUUAUAAUGUAAUUUUGGUUAAAAACUCUGUAGAUAAACAAAGAAAAACCUUUGUGGUAAUUUUUGACAUGACCAAAUUUGAAAUUCAAAGAAAUCAAAGAGCAGAGCUGCACCAAAGCAUUUAAGUAUUUGCUGCAGUAAGAAAAAAAUAAUAAAGGAAAGUUUGUGUUUUUAUUUGGAUUCUGAAUAAUUCCACUGAUUGUUUGAGAAAAGUUAAGAGUACGUUGGGAAGUUAAUAUUGGGGACCGCUACGUUGAAAGGUUAAAAAAAAGUGUUUAACACCUUCGGCAUCAUUUCUUGAUUCUCCAACAAGAGAACUAAGAGCCAUAUUCAUUAAUUACCAAGUCCACUGAAAGCCAUACAGUGAGUGCAUCUGCUGUGUAUAAAAUAACAAAGUUCCACCCAGCAGACAAAGUGUUCAGGUGGCAUUACUGGAAGGUGAAAAUGUGGAGUUAAGCCCAGAUGGGGAAUAAAACACAAUUCCAUUAGGAAUGAAAAAUUCCUAAAGAAACUCAAGUCAGUCAGAUGUGCAAAUGAUGCUCCAUUUAGCAUAUUCAGGAUCAACACAAGCUGCUGAAAUUACUGGCAUAAUGACAUUGGCCAUUUCAAGAGUAUAGUCCACUUUGGUACAUAAAGUAGCAUUUUGGUAGUUUUUCAAUUGUGUUCCACAUUUCCAUGUAUUUUGUUUUGGGUCAGCAUGAUUUUCCUCACCCGUUUUUGAUUGCACAAAAUACUACACAGGGACAACCAUAAAUGUUUUGGAACCAGAAAUUUCAAUAGUAUGUCAGGUAUCUGAGGAGAAGAUAAAGAGAUGGUUUUUAUAAAGAAAUAUUGAGAAAUAUAUCACCUUAACUUUCCUAAUUUCUGUUAAAAGUUACGGUCCAUACAGUAAUGAUUAUCUUGCGAGUUUGAACAUGCUAUUUUUCAUCUUUGGAAAAUGAGCAACGUCCAUAUUGUACACGAGGUCCUUAGUGCUCUACGUGCAGCUUGAGCACUCUGAAACAACAGCAGGUGGUUUGUCUCUCAUUGCAGAAAAUGGAAACUACUUUUUUCAGUUUUUAAGACUGUAUAUGGAGACAUCUGAGGUUGUCUGUGCACUGAACUGCAUGAAGAGGUGUAUGCAAGAGAAGGUGUUAAAUGCAAACUCUGGGAUGCCUGCACAAGCACAGUAGUUGGCACUGAGGUGAAAAUCUUCCCUCGCUGUGCUGUGAAGCCAACAUAUGUCAUAGUUACCAGGUAGUGACUUUGCUGAUUUAAACUCUGUUGAGGUUACAUUACAGUUAGUUGGUUGGUGAAAGCCUGGAGCCACUAAAAGUACAAGGCAGAAUUCUUCUAUAAAUUCAUAAAAAUGGGAUUUCUUCUCUGUGUUGGAGUUGGAUAUGCAAGUCACCACACAACAAACUAACAAUAAUUUGUUAUCACUGGGCAGUUUAAAGCCAUCACAUGAGCCUUGCCACAUACAAAAUCACUACAGACUAGCUAUUUGGAUGAUAGAUUUAUGUGUCCAAAAAGUAAAAAUUAUGCAUACCUUCUUUAUAUUUUCAGUACUUGUCUAGUCAGAUUUGUGCUGGAAGUACCUUUUUCAUAAAAAGCUGUAGUUAACAGCUUUUUGUAGUGUUUCAGGUGGGAAAAGGUGUUUCUACUGGAAUAGGAAAAAACUUCAAAGCCUUUCUCAAGUUCUAGCAUUGCAUAAAAAUCUCAAUGCAAAAGCAUGAUAAGCCAAAAAAUUGGUAUGGUGAACUAGCUUUUUUUUUCUUUUUCUUUUUUUUGACAAGUCACAGUGUUUUUUAAAUGCAUGAAGCAAUAUUAUUUCUCAAAUUACUUGCUCAGUGUUCUUUUCCUAAUCAGAUGUAAGAACAAAAAGUGGCCCAGCAACAACCGUUGGUUCUUACAAAAGGUUUGCAGUGCCUUCAUUGGAGUUGUGCUUAGCUUUUUGUGGUGGAUGCGGCUCAAUUUAUAUUCUGGACUUCUAGAGAGGAGAUGGAGGGAAAAGGAGGAAAGUUUUACAGAGCAUGACAAAGUUCGGUGUGCUACCAUAGCAGAAGUUAAUUAUAAAAAUAAGUAAUCCACAAAAAUGUGAAUCCAAAGACAAUUCAAGGAUUUAGCUCGAAAGCCGUCGCAAUACAAAAUUUCAGAGCAUGAAUACUCUCUUGCUAAGCAAAAAUUGCUAUAUAUCUUUAAAUAAAAGUGUGUAGAACAUUCCUUGUAGGGAGAAAUUAGUCUGAUACAUUUUCCUGCAUGAACAAUACAGGGGAGAAAAUAACCAAGGCAGAGACAUCAGGCUGUUCCAAGUGGGCCUAAGAAGAUUAAACGGAAGGUUGGUCACUUUGACACUGGGUGCAUUUUAAUUCAAAAGCAUAUUAAUCAGAAACUACCUUCCCUUCAGCCUCUCCUCAACAACCAAGAUUGAGCAAAGGUCAUGUUUGCAAGUAUUUUUGGCAAAUGAAGUAUAGAAUAUAACGCCUUUUGCUGAUACUCUAGCGGUUCUCAGUACAGAACAUGAACGUUCAUUAGGCAUUUGAGUAGUCAGCUUGCAGAAUACAAAAAUUGUGUGAUUGCAGUCACAAGCUGGUAUCUUAAAAAGAUAUAAAACCGUGCAGUUCAGUAAAAUAGAACAGAAAAAAAUAAAAAAUAGGCUUAUUUUUAGAUGCCUGUGGAGAUUGUGCACAAAGAUCUAGGUGGCAGCUAGCUCCCAGAUCUGUUUUCAUUAGAAUCCAGUGUGAGCAGCAGUGUUUGCAUCUAAAGCAGUGUGGAGUGUGUUCCGGUGCAAGCAUUGACAAGGGAGAUGAGGCCAAAUCAAAGUCCUCUAUACAAGCACACUUCAUCUUGGGGUGAAUGAGGUCCUGUAUUCUAUCAGAAUUGCAGAGUUUAUGGAGAAUAUAGACUUGACCCAGGAUAGGGAGACUAGGUUUUAGCUAUGAGGUUGUACCCAGAUCCAGGGUUUCAGUUCAAAAGUCAUCUCUGCUUGAAAGGAUUGACAGCAGGCAUAUGCUGUAAAUGAAUAUGGUAUUUAGUAUCUCUGAAGAGAAGCUGAAGUGACAGAAGCCAAAAUCCCAGCAAUAGCAGCAUUUUGAAUAUUUGAAGCCAAGGGUCUCUGUCAUGUAUUAGCAGAUUAUAGUUUAUUAGGGCCUACCUAAUUUAAGAAAAUGUAAAUUAAAAUUAAAAGCUUGUAAAAUUAUGUACAUCUUUACUAUUUCUCAAUAAAUACACUCGGAAAUGUCUUUUUUCUGUACUAUAUGGUGUUGUAAGUUGUUCGGUCUGUGGUUGUUGUGUCUCCAUACACAAUGUCUCUUACGGGUACUGACUGUGACCUUGGACUCUUAUGUCCGUGCUGCCCUUGUGGUUCAUGCCUGGAGCAACCCUGAGCCUGUGCAUGUGGUCUGGUACAGACUGGCUCACCUGCAGACUGUUUGCAGGGUACAGCCUUAGAGAGAAUCUACCCCUGCUCUGCACUGAGGCUUCCUCACCAAGAACAUUAGGUGCCUUGCUUCAGAUGCAGCCUGAGUGACAACUAGCACCUUUGUUGCAGUGUCCUUGGGACAAAAUACAGAACAAACGCAAAUUUGAUGGUCUAGAUACACAGUGUAUGCAUAUAAAUUCCCUUGCCAAUUCACUAAUUAAUAUUAUGCUAGUAUUCUUAUGGACAUGGGUUGUUAGGAGACAGACUGGGCUACUGAGGGGCAAGCAGCCUUUCCGGUUGAAGAUUGUCCUCGUGAAACUUUGUAAAUGUCUUUGGGAGCUGUACUUCAUGUCUUAGUGAGGUACUGACCUUCGUUUGAAGAAAGCAGUCCCUCCACAGUCUGCUGUGGGAGGCCAGAGUGGGAUUGCAGGACUGUCAGCACACUUAGACAUGACAUUAUGAUCUUGGAACAACAUAACAAGUAGCAGAGCC